UGAGGAAUAUUUCACAAUGAACGAAAGUUUGAUGAAGCAACACAGCGUGCAGGAUGAAGGUCUUCGGAUUGUAAACUGCUUUUAUAAGGGAAGAACAACAAAUUGAGGAAAUGCUUUUUGUCUGACAUUACCUUACGAAUAAGCACCGGCAAACUAUGUGCCAGCAGCCGCGGUAAUACAUAGGGUGCAAGCGUUAUCCGGAAUUAUUGGGCGUAAAGCGUUCGUAGGUGGUAUGUUAAGUCUGAAGUUAAAGACUGGAGCUCAACUCCAGCACGCUUUGGAUACUGGCAUACUCGAGAGUCAUGAAGAGGUUAGUGGAAUUCCAUAUGUAGCGGUGGAAUGCGUAGAUAUAUGGAGGAACACCAAUGGCGAAGGCAACUAACUGGACAUGUACUGACACUGAGGGACGAAAGCGUGGGGAGCAAACAGG
rnacentral:rRNA from 1 species